rnacentral:sRNA from 1 species
UUGACAGUUCUGGACCCUGAAGUCCUCUGUUUUCCCACACUACCUUGAGAACAUGGUGCAGCUGCUCUAGAGGGACCAAUUUUAGAGGAGAGAGUAGAUUAGUCUCAAUGCUUAUUCAAUCCUUGGUGAUU